UUGGAGGGCAAGUCUGGUGCCAGCAGCCGCGGUAAUUCCAGCUCCAAUAGCGUAUAUUAAAGUUGUUGCAGUUAAAAAGCUCGUAGUUGAACUUCGGGAUUCACCCAUUGGUCAGGCUUAAUUGUCUGUACUGGUGAGAUGAGUCUCUACCUUCUGAGGAACUUUCAUGCCAUUUGCUUGGUGUGAUUGGAAAUCAGGACUGUUACUUUGAAAAAAUUAGAGUGUUUAAAGCAGGCUAACGUCUGAAUACAUUAGCAUGGAAUAAUGAAAUAGGACGGAUUGAUUCUAUUUCGUUGGUUUCUAGGGUCACCGUAAUGAUUAAUAGGGAUAGUUGGGGGCAUUAGUAUUCGAUUGUCAGAGGUGAAAUUCUUGGAUUUAUUGAAGACUAACUACUGCGAAAGCAUUUGCCAAGGAUGUUUUCAUUAAUCAAGAACGAAAGUUAGGGGAUCGAAGACGAUCAGAUACCGUCGUAGUCUUAACCAUAAACUAUGCCGACUAGGGAUCGGACGCAGUUAAUUUUAUAAUGACGUGUUCGGCACCUUAUGGGAAACCAAAG
rnacentral:rRNA from 1 species